AUAUUAAACGGAUUUUUGGAACAGGGAGCUGGAUCAGGAGCUUGCUCCGUCCUCUCCACACAUCGGCCCGGUAUUGCAGCGCCUCCGGGAGCGGUGCACCACCU
rnacentral:snRNA from 1 species